rnacentral:rRNA from 1 species
AUUGAACGCUGGCGGCAGGCCUAACACAUGCAAGUCGAACGAGUGGCGGACGGGUGAGUAAUGUCUGGGAAACUGCCUGAUGGAGGGGGAUAACUACUGGAAACGGUAGCUAAUACCGCAUACCAUCAGAUGUGCCCAGAUGGGAUUAGCUAGUAGGUGGGGUAACGGCUCACCAAGGCGACGAUCCCUAGCUGGUCUGAGAGGAUGACCAGCCACACUGGAACUGAGACACGGUCCAGACUCCUACGGGAGGCAGCAGUGGGGAAUAUUGCACAAUGGGCGAAAGCCUGAUGCAGCCAUGCCGCGUGUAUGAAGAAGGCCUUCGGGUUGUAAAGCACUGUAAGUUGGGAGGCGUUACCAGCAGAAGAAGCACCGGCUAACUCCGUGCCAGCAGCCGCGGUAAUUC